GCUUUCCUGUGGCUCAGUUUGUAGAGCAUUGCCCUAAAAACGCAAAAGGUUGUGGGUUUAAAUCCCAGGGAAAGCA
rnacentral:tRNA from 1 species